AUACGGAGGAUCCGAGCGUUAUCCGGAUUUAUUGGGUUUAAAGGGUGUGCAGGCGGCCAUUUAAGUCAGCGGUUAAAUCGUGGGGCUCAACCCCAUUCUGCCGUUGAUACUGGGUGGCUUGAUUGCGGUCGAGGUUGGCGGAAUUCGUUGUGUAGCGGUGAAAUGCAUAGAUAUGACGAAGAACACCGAUUGCGUAGGCAGCUGACCAGACCGCAAAUGACGCUCAUGCACGAAAGUGCGGGGAUCGAACAGGAUUAGGUACCCUGGUAGUCCGCACAGUAAACGAUGAAUACUUGUUUUCGGCGAUAUAAUGUCGGAGGCAAAGCGAAAGCGAUAAGUAUUCCACCUGGGGAGUACGCCGGCAACGGUGAAACUCAAAUGAAUUGACGGGG
rnacentral:rRNA from 1 species